rnacentral:rRNA from 1 species
UACGGAGGGUGCAAACGUUGCUCGGAAUCAUUGGGCGUAAAGCGCACGUAGGCGGUCCAGCAAGUCGGGUGUGAAAGCCCUCGGCUUAACCGAGGAAGUGCAUUCGAAACUACUGGACUUGAGUACUGAAGAGGAUCGCGGAAUUCCCGGUGUAGAGGUGAAAUUCGUAGAUAUCGGGAGGAACACCAGUGGCGAAGGCGGCGAUCUGGGCAGAUACUGACGCUGAGGUGCGAAAGCGUGGGGAGCGAACAGG